rfam:Camelus ferus unplaced genomic scaffold scaffold978, whole genome shotgun sequence.
GAGGGUAUAGCUCAGUGGUAGAGCGCAUGCUUAGCAUGCAUGAGGUCCUGGGUUCAAUCCCCAGUACCUCCU